ensembl:lncRNA
GUAUUCAAUGGGCUUGAUUUAAGUGUAUUCAAUGGGCUUGAUUUAGGUGUAUUCAAUGGGCUUGAUUUAGGUGUAUUCAAUGGGCUUGAUUGAGGUGUAUGCAAUGGGCUUGAUUUAGGUGUAUUCAAUGGGCUUGAUUUAGGUGUAUGCAAUGGGCUUGAUUUAGGUGUAUGCAAUGGGCUUGAUUUAGGUGUAUGCAAUGGGCUUGAUUUAGGUGUAUGCAAUGGGCUUGAUUUAAGUGUAUGCAAUGGGCUUGAUUUAGGUGUAUGCAAUGGGCUUGAUUUAGGUGUAUGCAAUGGGCUUGAUUUAGGUGUAUUCAAUGGGCUUGAUUUAGGUGUAUUCAAUGGGCUUG